rnacentral:rRNA from 1 species
GGGAAUACUGCAGAGCUAGGGAGUGGGAGAGGUAGACGGUACUCGGUAGGAAGGGGUAAAAUCCUUUGAUCUAUUGAUGACCACCUGUGGCGAAGGCGGUCUACCAGAACACGUCCGACGGUGAGGGAUGAAAGCUGGGGGAGCAAACCGGAUUAGAUACCCGGGUAGUCCCAGCUGUAAACUAUGCAAACUCAGUGAUGCAUUGGCUUGUGGCCAAUGCAGUGCUGCAGGGAAGCCGUUAAGUUUGCCGCCUGGGAAGUACGUACGCAAGUAUGAAACUUAAAGGAAUUGGCGGGGGAGCACCACAAGGGGUGAAGCCUGCGGUUCAAUUGGAGUCAACGCCAGAAAUCUUACCCGGAGAGACAGCAGAAUGAAGGUCAAGCUGAGGACUUUACCAGACAAGCUGAGAGGUGGUGCAUGGCCGUCGCCAGCUCGUGCCGUGAGAUGUCCUGUUAAGUCAGGUAACGAGCGAGAUCCCUGCCUCUAGUUGCCACCAUUACUCUCAGGAGUAGUGGGGCGAAUUAGCGGGACCGCCGUAGUUAAUACGGAGGAAGGAAGGGGCCACGGCAGGUCAGUAUGCCCCGAAACUCUGGGGCCACACGCGGGUUGCANCNNGAACGACAAUGGGUUUCGAAUCCGAAAGGAUGAGGUAAUCCUCAAACGUUACCACAGCUAUGACUGAGGGCUGCAACUCGCCCUCACGAAUAUGGAAUCCCUAGUAACUGCGUGUCAUUAUCGCGCGGUGAAUACGUCCCUGCUCCUUGCACUCACCGCCCGU